rnacentral:rRNA from 1 species
AGCGAACGCUGGCGGCAGGCUUAACACAUGCAAGUCGAGCGGCCGUAGCAAUACGGCAGCGGCAGACGGGAGAGUAACACGUGGGAACGUACCCUUCAGUAAGGAACAACCAAGGGAAACUUUGGCUAAUACCGUAUACGUCCGUAAGGAGAAAGAUUUAUCGCUGAAGGAUCGGCCCGCGUCUGAUUAGCUAGUUGGUGAGGUAACGGCUCACCAAGGCGACGAUCAGUAGCUGGUCUGAGAGGAUGAUCAGCCUCACUGAGACUGAGACACGGCCCAGACUCCUACGGGAGGCAGCAGUGGGGAAUAUUGGACAAUGGGCGCAAGCCUGAUCCAGCCAUGCCGCGUGGAUGAUGAAGGCCCUAGGGUUGUAAAGUCCUUUUAACGGGGAAGACAAUAACGGUACCCGUAGAAUAAGCCCCGGCUAACUUCGUGCCAGCCGCCGCGGUAA